UUUGACCUCGAAUCAGGUAGG
rnacentral:rRNA from 6 species